rnacentral:rRNA from 1 species
AAGUGAGAAUGCCGGUGUGAGUAGCGAAAGACGGGUGAGAAUCCCGUCCACCGAUUGACUAAGGUUUCCAGAGGAAGGCUCGUCCGCUCUGGGUUAGUCGGGUCCUAAGCUGAGGCCGACAGGCGUAGGCGAUGGAUAACAGGUUGAUAUUCCUGUACCACCUAUAAUCGUUUUAAUCGAUGGGGGGACGCAGUAGGAUAGGCGAAGCGUGCGAUUGGAUUGCACGUCUAAGCAGUAAGGCUGAGUAUUAGGCAAAUCCGGUACUCGUUAAGGCUGAGCUGUGAUGGGGAGAAGACAUUGUGUCUUCGAGUCGUUGAUUUCACACUGCCGAGAAAAGCCUCUAGAUAGAAAAUAGGUGCCCGUACCGCAAACCGACACAGGUAGUCAAGAUGAGAAU